rnacentral:rRNA from 1 species
ACUUUUUUUAAUAAAUAUUUAAAAUAUAAAUAGUGCUAGAACUCUUUUAAUAAGAGCAAACAAAAUAAAAGGCAAGUAAGAGAUCUUAUUUAUUUAAGAAAAUAAUUAUAUGUUAAAAUAAUUAUGAAGCCAACCUAGCUAUAGAAAGGCCUUAGUGUCGGAGUAACAUUUUAUAUUUUUAUAUUGAAAACCGUACCCUAAACCGACACAGGUGGAUAGGUCGAGUAGACCAAGGUGUAUGAGAUAAUUAUGUUGAAGGAACUCGGCAAAAUGACUCUGUAACUUCGGGAGAAAGAGUACCUUAUAUAAAUCAACGUUUAUAGAAG